rnacentral:lncRNA from 12 species
AUGACACGCGUUAGCCCGGGUGGGGGGGUGCAGGUCUUAGCGCCCCCCACCCCCCUGCGGGUCUGCACCCCGGGGGCUCCAGUUCUCUCCAAAGCAAAAACAAAACCGGUGCUCAGCGGGCGACCCUCUCACCUCUCGGCCUCCGUCUCUGCGAUCCUGCAGGAAGCCUCUGAGCGCCCGGCUGCUCUCUGUGUGCGGCUGCGUCCGGGGCUCUGCAGACGCCCUGGCUCCGAUGCUCCUUCCCCCCGGUCUGCGGACAAGGCCGGGCCGAAGCCAGGGGACCCUGGGCCUCGCUGCGCCCCAGUCACCUCUCCCUGCUGCUGGCGAACUUCCCCUCUAAAUUCCUGCCGCGGGAUGUCCACGGUCUGUGCCAACGGCCUGAGUCUGCCUCCCCCGCACAUGCUCCACGCAGCACAGACGACGCAGACUCAAGUGAAAAAAUUGUGGCCAUGGCACCACGGCUGCCAAGAGGGAGACCAAUUAGUACAAAGUAAAUAUUUCCCCGGCAGGAAAAUGGAUGGAGGCCGCCAGAGUCCUCCUCGGAAGGCAGGAAGCACGAGGGCCACGCAGCCCGGGCCAGCGCAGCCGGAGAUGAAAGGGACAGCAGAGUGUCCGCAGCCUUCUGGGCCAGAGCCGACUGGGCAAUUAGACCUCAACAUUUAUUUAUGGAGCUAAUUCUGCGCGUAUUGGUCCCAUUUCCGUCUGCAGAUAAAAAGCAGAGAUAAUCGGCUUGGCGCUGGACGCAGAUGCUUCCAGAAGCCCCCGUGCGGGGACCGGCUGGUUCCCCAUGAGGGUCAAAGAAUUCUACUCACCGCAAACUCCCCUGACCUCCUUUCUCACCACCAGGUCUUCCUCCAACACAUCUGUGGGGGGAUAUUUAUAGGGUUUCCACCAUCUCUGGGAGGCACUUUUGAAAGGAAAAAUAAGGCAAGAGUGAUGUCCCCGGGCGAGCUGGCGGCUGCCACUGGGCUCCCCUCCCUCUCCCCUCUCCCAACACCCACUUGCCUGAGUUUGGCGGUUGUGAGGUUGUUCAUAAUCAAGAACGAGCAGCCACCUCGCAGCGGUGCUGGUGGCCUCGGCAGCAAACCCGCGCUUCUUGAGGGGUGUCCUCGGGGCUUCCCCGCAGACCCCGCACCGCAGACAGGCCGCCAGCGCCCGUCCGGGGACCACUGGGAGCUUGGACAUUCACGGUGGCUUGUUCGCACCGAAUGGCUUCACCUGCCUUCGGACCUGCUGUUAUUAGCAUCAGGGUAAAAAUAACAAACAACAGCUCAUACCUUAGUAACCAGUGGGCCGGUAGCUAAUGAAACCAGGGAGAGAAAUAGAUUACCUAAUAUGUUUUGAGAUUUAACGUUGACUUUGUUAUUUUAAGAAUUUAGAAGGAUGUUUUUCCUGCUCAAAUGAUCAUAUGUCAGCUUCCUCUGGAAGUGUGUGGAAGUCCCCUCGUACCCAUUGUGUUGCCUUAUUCAAUUAAACCCUAUUUAGAGGAACAUGAAAUGAUUAGUUAAUUCAAACAUCCUCUAUUAAUGAGUGCCACCGCGAGGUCCUCUAACGCCGAGGAGAACAUGCCUCAUGGGACACACGGACUCAUUCUCUGCUGCAUCUCUCAGGGCGUGGGAUCAGAUCCAAUAACUUGAGAAAAUAAAUAUGGCGAUUUCCCUAUAAACCCUAAAAGC